rnacentral:lncRNA from 1 species
UCCAUCUCAUGUCAUACACCUUCAUCAAUAUAAAUUAUCACAAUGUAUACACUCACAGGACACUAGCAACCAAAGCGAACCAAUAUGGGGGAGGGGUAAUAUAAUGGAUGAAUUAAACUUUAAUAAAAAUGGAAGUUUCAGUGACUAACGUGGAGGGAGGUGAAUAAAAUUCCAGCAACCAAAGUGAACCAAUGUGAUUGGAUUAUUUACAAUGGAUUUAGCAUACCAUCAAAGCCAUGCCCACCAUAAAUUAUUACAACAUAAAAAAAUCGCUUCCACAACCACACAAAUGGCAAGCAAAAUUCUAACAAACCCACAUUCAACAUCUACAUAAUAAAAGAAAAGCCGCUGGUGACUUAGUAAAGAUGAGCGUCGAGUGAGCUUGAGCUCGUUUGCAGCCGAAGAACUUCAAGCAUGUGCCGACCGAAGGUUGCUUUCUCCCUUCUGGGACUCGAAAUGGGUGGAGAUGGAAGUUAACAAUUUUGGAAAAAAAAAUGGGUGGAAAUGGAGAUUUCAAUUGAGCCGGCUGAAGGAAAUUUUCUCCCUUUCGUUGAAAUUUCAAUUGAACCGAUCGGAGGAAAUUUUCUCCCUUUCGUUUG